AGUGGCGGACGGGUGAGUAACGCGUGAGAAUCUGCCUUGGGGUCGGGGACAACCACUGGAAACGGUGGCUAAUACCGGAUAAGCCGAUUGGUGAAAGAUUUAUUGCCCGAAGAGGAGCUCGCGUCUGAUUAGCUAGUUGGUGAGGUAAGAGCUCACCAAGGCAGCGAUCAGUAGCUGGUCUGAGAGGACGAUCAGCCACACUGGGACUGAGUCACGGCCCAGACUCCUACGGGAGGCAGCAGUGGGGAAUUUUCCGCAAUGGGCGAAAGCCUGACGGAGCAAGACCGCGUGAGGGAGGAAGGCUCUUGGGUUGUAAACCUCUUUUCUCAGGGAAGAAGCUCUGACGGUACCUGAGGAAUCAGCCUCGGCUAACUCCGUGCCAGCAGCCGCGGUAAUACGGAGGAGGCAAGCGUUAUCCGGAAUUAUUGGGCGUAAAGCGUCCGCAGGUGGCGAUUCAAGUCUGCUGUCAAAGCACGGGGCUUAACUCCGUAAAGGCAGUGGAAACUGAAUAGCUAGAGUGCCGUAGGGGUAGAGGGAAUUCCCGGUGUAGCGGUGAAAUGCGUAGAGAUCGGGAAGAACAUCGGUGGCGAAAGCGCUCUACUGGACGGCAACUGACACUCAGGGACGAAAGCUAGGGGAGCGAAUGGGAUUAGAUACCCC
rnacentral:rRNA from 1 species